GGGCGACGAAGCGACGCCGCGUGAGCGAAGAAGGCCCUAGGGUUGCAAAGCUCUGUCGGGGGUUAUGAAAUGCAGGUUGGUUAAUACCCAACCUGUUUGACAAAGGCCCCAAAGGAAGCCACGGCUAACUCUGUACCAGCAGCCGCGGUAAUACAGAGGUGGCAAGCGUUGUUCGGUAUUAUUGGGCGUAAAGAGCACGUAGGUGGUUUUGUAAGUCAGAUGUGAAAGCCUUCUGUUCAAAGGAAGAACGGCAUCUGAAACUGCAGAUCUUGAGUGUAGGAGGGGAGAGUGGAACUUUUGGCGGAGCGGUGAAAUGCGUAGAUAUCAGAAGGAACGUCGGCGGCGAAAGCGACUCUCUGGCCUAUUACUGACACUGAGUGUGCGAAAGUUAGGGGAGCAAACGGGAUUAGAUACCCCGGUAGUCCUAACUGUAAACGAUGGGCACUAAGUAGAGG
rnacentral:rRNA from 1 species